rnacentral:rRNA from 1 species
CCUACGGGAGGCAGCAGUGAGGAAUAUUGGUCAAUGGGCGCAAGCCUGAACCAGCCAAGUCGCGUGAGGGAUGACGGCUCUAUGGGUUGUAAACCUCUUUUAUAAGGGAAUAAUAUGCUCUACGUGUAGCGUUUUGUAUGUACCUUAUGAAUAAGGAUCGGCUAACUCCGUGCCAGCAGCCGCGGUAAUACGGAGGAUCCGAGCGUUAUCCGGAUUUAUUGGGUUUAAAGGGUGCGUAGGCGGUUUUUUAAGUUAGCGGUGAAAUCCUGGGGCUCAACCAUGGAAUUGCCGUUGAAACUGGAGUACUAGAGUACGGAUGAGGCAGGCGGAAUACGUGGAGUAGCGGUGAAAUGCUUAGAUAUAACGUAGAACCCCGAUUGCGAAGGCAG